GGGAUCUCUUCAGUAAUUGCGCAUGAACCAGGAUAUGCUUAGCUUGACAAAUGGAGCUGCUGGCUCUGAAUUGUAUUGUGGGAAUGUAUUACCAACAGAGGUGCAGGUGUCAGCCAUUUGAAAGAAAGCAUCAAUGAGGGUGAGAGUCCUGUUUGUCAUGUGCGGCCUUCUGUGCACGGUGUAUAUUUGCUGAGUCACACUCCUUGGCAUUGGAAUGCAAAGUGGGUGGUAAGUUUCAUGCAAAGGUAAAUAUGCAAUUGAGACUGAUAGCGCACAAGUACCAUGAGGGACAUAUGAAAAGGACUUUGAAAAGAGAAUUAAAUGAGUUUGUAUUUGCUAAACACAAAGUAAACAGACUUGAUUUCCUCAGUGAGAUUGUAGUGCUUGCUUAACAAUGGGUUUUGGCUGCAAGUGCAAUAAUUCUUGCUUUGUGUGCCAGUUUUUAUGUGGACAUUUGAUUACCUUUGCACAUGAAUGGUAAUUUUCCUGCGGGGUGUGGAUUGCAUAUGCAUGUAAUGAUUUGCAUGUUUGUUAAAUGUGUCUGGUGUAUUUGUUUGUGUCCUUGUCCUUGAGGUUGCUUUCUCCCUUGGGCUUACAUGCCCUGGCACACACAUUCUGGCAAAAUGCUUCUGCUUGACCCG
rnacentral:rRNA from 1 species